UACGUAGGGUGCAAGCGUUAAUCGGAAUUACUGGGCGUAAAGCGUGCGCAGGCGGCUUUGCAAGACAGAUGUGAAAUCCCCGGGCUUAACCUGGGAACUGCAUUUGUGACUGCAUGGCUAGAGUGCGGCAGAGGGGGAUGGAAUUCCGCGUGUAGCAGUGAAAUGCGUAGAUAUGCGGAGGAACACCGAUGGCGAAGGCAAUCCCCUGGGCCUGCACUGACGCUCAUGCACGAAAGCGUGGCGAGCAAACAGG
rnacentral:rRNA from 1 species